rnacentral:rRNA from 1 species
CUUCUUANAGGGACUAUCGGUGUUUAACCGAUGGAAGUUUGGGGCAAUAACAGGUCUGUGAUGCCCUUAGAUGUUCUGGGCCGCACGCGCGCUACACCGAUGAAGUCAUCGAGUUCAUUUCCUUUAUCGGAAGAUAUGGGUAAUCUUUUGAAACUUCAUCGUGCUGGGGAUAGAGCUUUGCAAUUAUUGCUCUUGAACGAGGAAUCCCUAGUAAGCACAAGUCAUUAGCUUGUGCUGAUUACGUCCCUGCCCUUUGUACACACCGCCCGUCGCUACUACCGAUUGAAUGGCUUANUGAGGC